UACGGAAGGCAGCAGUGGGGAAUAUUGCACAAUGGGCGCAAGCCUGAUGCAGCCAUGCCGCGUGUAUGAAGAAGGCCUUCGGGUUGUAAAGUACUUUCAGUCGUGAGGAAGGUGUUAAGGUUAAUAACCUUAGCAAUUGACGUUAGCGACAGAAGAAGCACCGGCUAACUCCGUGCCAGCAGCCGCGGUAAUACGGAGGGUGCGAGCGUUAAUCGGAAUUACUGGGCGUAAAGGGCACGCAGGCGGUUAAUUAAGUUGGAUGUGAAUCCCCGGGCUUAACCUGGGAAUGGCAUUCAAGACUGGUUAGCUAGAGUCUUGUAGAGGGGGUAGAAUUCCAUGUGUAGCGGUGAAAUGCGUAGAGAUGUGGAGGAAUACCGGUGGCGAAGGCGGCCCCUGGACAAAGACUGACGCUCAUGUGCGAAAGCGUGGGGAGCGAAAC
rnacentral:rRNA from 1 species